CUUUCCUAAAAAUUUUACAAAUAAUCCGUGCCCAAUUCGAGCCAUCGGAAACCGAAUAUUUAAGGGUUGAGAGUGAGUUUUAUGGGCAUUUCUUGAGCUAUUCUAUGACGAAUUUCGUACGAAAUUAAUUGUUUUUUCCUCACCUAUUAUUCCAAAACUUAGCGUGGAUACUUAUAAUAUUGCUCACUGGCAUAAUGGCUAUUCAUCUUAUCAGCAGAAAUAUUUUCUUAGAAAGUAUAUCAACUUUAAUGGCAUCCGAGUUAUCUUGUAAUUAGAUACCUCGAGGGUUGGUUUCUCCACUUUCAUCUCUCUCUCUCUCUCUCUCUCCUCCGCUCUCCCUUUUUUCUUUCCUCCCCCCUCUCUUGCAUAAUGAAGAAUCACAUCUGCUCUCGUAAAAUAUUCGUUGUCUUCUAUAAAUUAUUAUUAUUAUUAUUAGAAAAUUACCGAAUGUCAGCUUACGUUUGCAUUUGAAAAAUUCUUUCCUUUUUACCUUUCAAAGGAGAGUGGGGAACAGACUAAAUUAACGUCUUUAAAUACGAUUUUUCUUUGUUUUUAUGGUUAGUUUAAUAAAUUUAUUAUUGUUAUUAUUUAUUUUUAAAGUUCAAUUUCGGUUAGUAAGAAAGUGGAAGAAAUAGUGAAGUGGAAAUUUCGUUAUCUGGACAAUAAUCAAAAUCAGUUAUUGGAUAAAAGAGAGUGGUUAGAAUUUCGCCACCAAUGGAAAAACUUCUUAAAAAACAACAAGAGGAGGAGAAAAUUAAGGAAACUUCGCAAGUGUUGGAGGAAUUUCCCUAGAUUCUGCGAUAUAAAUAAUAAUAAUAAAAUAACCAUGGAAGAAUGGAUGACGUGCACGGGUAUCAUUAGGAAUGAUAACGGAGCUAUCAAACGAAGAGGACCCAAUCCUUUUGAUAAAAUACUAAUAAGUGAUUGAGUUUCUGAUCGCGUAGUGUUUUAAUAUAC